rnacentral:rRNA from 1 species
UACGUAGGGGGCAAGCGUUGUCCGGAUUCAUUGGGUUUAAAGGGAGCGUAGGUGGCCUUAUAAGUCAGUGGUGAAAUCUCUGGGCUUAACCCAGAAAUUGCCAUUGAUACUGUAGGGCUUGAGUAUAGUUGCCGUUGGCGGAAUAUGACAUGUAGUGGUGAAAUACAUAGAGAUGUCAUAGAACACCGAUUGCGAAGGCAGCUGACGAAACUAUAACUGACACUGAGGCUCGAAAGUGCGGGGAUCAAACAGG